rnacentral:rRNA from 1 species
CACGUAGGGGCCAAGCGUUGUCCGGAUUUAUUGGGCGUAAAGAGCUCGUAGGCGGUUCGACAAGUCGGGUGUGAAAACUCCGGGCUCAACCCGGAGACGCCACCCGAUACUGUCGUGACUGGAGUCCGGUAGGGGAGUGGGGAAUUCCUGGUGUAGCGGUGAAAUGCGCAGAUAUCAGGAGGAACACCGGUGGCGAAGGCGCCACUCUGGGCCGGCACUGACGCUGAGGAGCGAAAGCGUGGGUAGCAAACAGG